UGUUGUCAUCUUUUGGCUUACUCUUGGACCUUCUUACAAUGAGACAUUUUUUAUGCGUAUAGACUCACUUGCUUGCGUUUGUUUGAUUGGGUUUUUCUUUAAUCGUUUCAUUAUCUCAUGCCCAUAUUCGACAAAUGUACCCCUAUUCCCAUGACGUGUAUAAGUUUAUCCCUUUAUGUAUGAUUAUUUGUUUAAUUUAGUUUCUAAGACAAGAAUAAAAUCCACCUUUUUUAAAAAAAAAAAGAAAAAAAAUAAAACUCUAACCAACGUCGAGUACUUUUCUCAAAGAUCAACCAUUUCAAACUUUUAUUUUUAAUCCAUUUCCACCAUUCUCGUUUUCUCAAACUUUUCAUCUUCAACCAUUUUCC
rnacentral:lncRNA from 1 species